rnacentral:rRNA from 1 species
UACGUAGGGGGGCUAGCGUUGUCCGGAUUUAUUGGGCGUAAAGAGCGUGUAGGCGGCCAGGUAGGUCUGCUGUGAAAACUCGAGGCUCAACCUCGAGCUGUCGGUGGAAACCGUAAGGCUAGAGUCCGGAAGAGGAGAGUGGAAUUCCUGGUGUAGCGGUGAAAUGCGCAGAUAUCAGGAAGAACACCCGUGGCGAAGGCGGCUCUCUGGGACGGUACUGACGCUGAGACGCGAAAGCGUGGGGAGCGAACAGG